GCGAGUUAAUUAUAAGCUCCAAACCCCUGUGAACAUACCUAUUGUUGCCUCGGCAGGUCGUGCUGCGCGGUUGGAACGCCUACCCUGGAGGCGCCUACCCUGGAGUAGGCGUCCUGGAGUUGGCCGCCCAUGCCCUGUAGCACGUUACCAGGCCUGCCGGCGGACCCCUAAACUCUGUUUUACACUGUAUCUCUGAGUCUAUUUUACAAAUAAGUUA
rnacentral:misc_RNA from 1 species